UGGUUACAUCUACCUGUUCAGCGUUGCUUAUUUGUUGUUUCUCACUGUUCAUUUAUUCCUUCUGUCCUCUUACCCCAGCCAGACGAGAAAGGUGGCCAUCCAUUCCUUAAUGUACUUAGUCACCAAGCGCUUACUGAGGGUGUAAUUGUUGGGUUUCUCUCUCUCAUACUGUUAGGUCUUUACCUAUGUAAAGUUCCCUGAAUUUAGUUAUGUCUUGAUUUAGUGCUGCUGAAAUAAAAUGAAAUUGAAUUAAAGAAUGAAUUUUACCUCUAGCAGGGAAGGCAGUGCUGUGAACUCAAAGAGGAUAGCUAACAAGGAUCUGGUGAUGAUCCUCAAUCCAGCUUUCAUGAGGUAUGUUCAUGACGCUUGGCUGGGACAGAGGGGCUACUAUCCAUCCACGGGCUUUCUGACUUUUGCACUCAGCUUGCUGAUUUGUGAUGAGGUCAACGUUUUUGGGUUUGGAGCAGACAGUGAUGGAAACUGGAACCACUACUAUGAACAACGCAAAUACAAAAACCUAAAAACUGGAGCCCAUCCUGGAACAUUUGAAUAUCAAACUAUUGAGAAAUUACAUAAAAGACAAAUGAUCGAAUUUUUUAAAGGAUGGUAAUGUUUUUUUCUUUUUUCUUUGAAUAGCAUACACAUGAGCAGCACAAAAUGAGCAGCUUUGGUCUUUUCACAUCUACACACGGAGGGUUUUAUUUUUAAGUUGUAUAGUAUGAAGUCCCGUAUGAUGCUUAGUGUAAAAUAUACAGUUGACUAAAACAGCUGUACUAAGCCAGCAGCUAUGGAUUUUUUUGUGUGUGUGUUGGUUCAGUAUCUAUUCCAUUCUGGUCUAAAAUGUUCAUUUUUCUGAUUCACUUGGUUAUUUGACUUCAAAAAUAGCAAUUUAAAUAAUAAUAAUAGUAAGCAUGAGGGGAUUUGGACUGUGACAUGUGACCUUGUUAAACAUAUCAUUGGUCGUAAGGUGGGGUUUUAUUUGUCUGUUUUAUAAGCAAUAAUUAUGAUCACAAAAAUCACCAAAUCAAUAAAUUUGGAACUAUUGCUCUUU